rnacentral:lncRNA from 1 species
CCCUGCAAAUUACCCUGUUACACUCAAAAGCAUCAAUAUUUAUGAUCAAUAUAACCAUAUGUUAUAAUCUUUAAGAACAAUAACCAUAACUCAAUAUGAUCAUAGAAUCUGAUAUGGUCAACGCUUGAAACCCAAUUGAUCCAAUUCGAUUAAAAAACAACUCAGAAUAAAAUUGUAAACUCCAAAGCUGAAGCAAUUUAAACAGAGCAAAGGUUAAGCAAAGUAUCAAUCUUUAAUUUAAUCUAUCAACAAUCUGAUAUGUGUUUUUUUGUUUGUUUAACAUCUGUAAUCAUAACUCCUAAUCAUAAUCAGAAUCAUUACUUUUGACUUUUCAUAUCUUUUUAGAUAACAUCAUUGCAUGCAAUAAGAAAGCACCAUAGUGAUAACAUAUAUGAGUUAGUAACACAAGUUUAUGCUCUGCUUCACAAAGAAACAGAGAAUCUUGAAAGCUUUACUUACAGGUUUUGAGAAGUCGAUCAGGGGAAGUCAAACAAAGAUCAAAAGAGACAUUGUUGAAAAAACUGGAUCGGCCUUAUGGUCACCACAAGACUCACCAAACAAAACAAUAAUAGUAUAUAUGCUUGUGGUUUUGUCUGCUUUGCGAUUGUUUAAGUGUUAUACGAGAAAAACCUCAACGGGCGCUUUGGAGGAAUCAAGAACUCAUUAUUAGUUGAGGGUAAUUUAGAAAGAAUCAAACAAAUAAAGGGUAAUUUGGGGAAUUU